UGGUGUAAUCAAUGUCAUUGUAGGUGGGUCGUGUGUCGGGAAGUCUGGUAACAAGAGGUUAGCAGAGGUGAGUAGCAGUAGUAGCCGAACAAUCCUCUCGGUUGAUAAGGACGAGUUGAGCAAGGAAAUCAUCACGUUCUGUCCUAGUGACCAUGAGGUAAAACAAUCACAUUCUGACCUUUUGGUGGUGUUUGUGCAGAUGAGCAAGUACACAAUACAAAGAAUGUUGAUCGAUAUGGCAAUCUCGAUCAACCUCAUCACCAAGAAGUGUUUGAGAAGCUCAGCCACGAUCAAGACGGUUUGGCAAAGGUGAUGUACUCAUUGGUUGGCCUUGGAGAUAAGAUAGAUCUUGUACUCGAAAUCGCCAAUCUGGCAGUGAUCCUGGGCAAUGAGGGGUAUAAACGUGAGAUCUAUAUAUACUUCAUGGUGGUCGACAUCCUGUUAUUAUUCAACAUUAUUCUCGGUUGCCCUCUCCUAAGUAGCAAUAGUAUCAACACUAGCAUACAAUGGUUGUGCAUGAAAUUUCCCGCCAAGGGAGGCAUAGCCAUUGUCCGAGGAAGUUAGAAGUCAGCAUAAGAGUGCUAUCAGAAGUUAACCAAAGUGGUGACAUAGGUGACUUUGUCGAUCGAGCUGCUGGAGAAAUCAGAGAGUCAAAUCUCACUAGAAC
rnacentral:misc_RNA from 1 species